rnacentral:rRNA from 1 species
AAACGUAGGUGGCGAACGUUAUCCGGAUUUACUGGGCGUAAAGCGCUCGCAGGCGGCUUCGUAAGUCUGACGUGAAAGCUCCCGGCUUAACUGGGAGAGGCCGUUGGAUACUGCGGAGCUUGAGGGCAGGAGAGGAGAGUGGAAUUCCCGGUGUAGCGGUGGAAUGCGUAGAUAUCGGGAGGAACUCCAGUGGCGAAGGCGACUCUCUGGCCUGACCCUGACGCUCAGGAGCGAAAGCGUGGGGAGCGAACAGGAUUAGAAACCCUAGUAGUCC